rnacentral:lncRNA from 1 species
CCAUAGAAUUAGUGGUAAAGAAGGUGUGGAUCAUUAAUGUUUAUUCACAUUACAGUGUUAGUGGUAAAGAAGGUGUGGAUCAUUAAUGUUUAUUCACAUUACAGUGUUUGAUGUGGGGCUAUAAUUUCAUAGUUUAGUAUAUUAUGUGCCUUGCUUUUUACAUGCUCUAAUGAUAAAUUACACUUUAUUUAGGCGUAACGGAGUUUAUUUUAUGUGUAGGUAAAUUGGAGAUGAAAGAAAAGCAAAAGGAAUACUUAAACGUUGAAAGUAUGCUCGAGAACAGUGAAAAGGUGAGGCCAUGCAAAGGCCAGCUUAACCAGGCUUUAGCCUGGCGAGGCCAGGCAAAGGCCAGCUUAACCAGGCUUUAGCCUGGCGAGGCCAGCCAAAGGCCAAGCUGAAGCUGGCAUUAGGCUGGCGCUGCAAAGCAAAGGCCAGAUUGAGGCUGGCGUUAGGCUGGCGCUGCAAGGAUAAGACCAGGCUGAAGCUGGCGUUAGGCUGGCGACGCCAGGCCUAGGGCGAGGUCCAGUCCGAGUUUUGAAGACUUAAUUCAUUUUCUGGCUUGACUAGGAUUUGACCUACAUAUUUAGGUCUUGUCCUAAACAUAUAAAUAGACCUAAAAACGCCACUUUGAAGGAGUUUUUGCGACCGGAGGCAAAGACAUCACAUGGACAACUUUUGGAGGAGAAAAUCAUAGAGUUCUUCAUCCCUUUUUCUUUUCUUUGUAAUUUGUUUAUGCAAUAUACUUGAAAAAUAGUCACUACGAACAUGAGUGGCUAAGCACUCUAAGUUCUAGGGUUGUUGUUGACAUUACUAUUAUCGUUUAUUAAUUACAUCCUCAUUAAUUUGGAUUA